rnacentral:tRNA from 1 species
UCCCAAGUGGCUCAGUGGUAAAGAAUCCGCCUGCCAAACAGGAGACCCAGGUUCGAUCCCUAGGUUGGGAA